rnacentral:rRNA from 1 species
UACAGAGGUGGCAAGCGUUGUUCGGAAUUACUGGGCGUAAAGGGCGCGUAGGCGGUCUUGUAAGUCUUGUGUGAAAUCCCUUGGCUUAACUGAGGAACUGCACGAGAUACUGCAAGACUUGAGAUCGGGAGAGGGAAGCGGAAUUCCGGGUGUAGCGGUGAAAUGCGUAGAUAUCCGGAGGAACACCGGUGGCGAAGGCGGCUUCCUGGACCAGCACUGACACUGAGGCACGAAAGCGUGGGGAGCAAACAGG